rnacentral:RNase_P_RNA from 1 species
UAUAGAAGAGGAAAGUCCGGACAUCGUAGAACAUUAUACUAGCUAACGGCUAGGAGUUGCUUGCAACGACAGCUAGUGCAGCAGAAAACAACCGCCUUCGGGUAAGGGUGAAAAGGUGAGGUAAGAGCUCACCAGUAUUUUUAGUAAUAAAAAUAGCUGUGUAAACCUUAUAAGAUGCAAGGUCAUGUAAACCGAGACUUCCUUAGGGAAUAAGAAUUGUUCGUUCGAUUUCGGAGGGUAGACCGCUAAAGAUGCUUAGUGAUAAGUAUCGUAGAUAAAUGAUAGAGGUUCACUUGUGGAUAACAGAAUCCGGCUUAUGACGGAGCUU